AGGUGCUGUAAGCAUGCUUACAGCCAUACUAUCCUGAGCAUGCCCGAUCUCGUCUGAUCUCGGAAGCCAAGCAGGAAAGGGCCU
rnacentral:rRNA from 1 species